GACGAACGCUGGCGGCGUGCUUAACACAUGCAAGUCGAACGAAGUGGCGAACGGGUGAGUAAUACGUGAGUAACCUGCCCUCCUUUUUGGGAUAAGCCUUGGAAACGGGGUCUAAUACCGAAUAAAGGGGGAUGGGCUCGCGGCCUAUCAGCUUGUUGGUGGGGUGAUGGACUACCAAGGCGGUGACGGGUAGCCGGCUUGAGAGGGUGACGGGCGACAUUGGUACUGAGAUACGCCCCAGACUCCUACGGGAGGCAGCAGUGGGGGAUAUUGCACGAUGGGCGAAAGCCUGAUGCAGCGACGCCUCGUGAGUGAAGAAGGUUGUCGGAUCGUAAAGCUCUGUUGUUAAGGAAGGAGGACUUAACCAGAAAGGGACGGCUAGCUACGUGCCAGCAGCCGCGGUAAUUC
rnacentral:rRNA from 1 species